rnacentral:rRNA from 1 species
UUAAGUGACUAAGCGUACACGGUGGAUGCCUUGGCAAUCAGAGGCGAUGAAGGACGUGCUAACCUGCGAAAAGGGUUGGUGAGCUGGUAAGAAGCGUUAUAGCCAACCAUGUCCGAAUGGGGAAACCCACUCACUUUUAGUGAGUAUCUCAUGCUGAAUACAUAGGCAUGUAGAGGCGAACCCGGGGAACUGAAACAUCUAAGUACCCGGAGGAAAAGAAAUCAACCGAGAUUCCCUAAGUAGCGGCGAGCGAACGGGGAUUAGCCCUUAAGUUUGAUAUGAGCAAGUGGAACGGUCUGGAAAGUCCGGCGAUAGAGGGUGAUAGCCCCGUACACGUAAGCGAAUAUUGAAUGAAAUCGAGUAGGUCGGGACACGUGGUAUCUUGACUGAACAUGGGGGACCAUCCUCCAAGGCUAAAUACUCCUGAUUGACCGAUAGUGAACCAGUACCGUGAGGGAAAGGCGAAAAGAACCCCUGUGAGGGGAGUGAAAUAGAACCUGAAACCGUGUACGUACAAGCAGUGGGAGCAUCCUUCGGGGUGUGACUGCGUACCUUUUGUAUAAUGGGUCAGCGAGUUACUUUCAGUGGCGAGGUUAACCGAAUAGGGGAGCCGUAGGGAAACCGAGUCUUAACUGGGCGAAUAGUCGCUGGGAGUAGACCCGAAACCCGGUGAUCUAGCCAUGGGCAGGUUGAAGGUUGAGUAACAUCAACUGGAGGACCGAACCCACUAACGUUGCAAAGUUAGGGGAUGACCUGUGGCUGGGGGUGAAAGGCCAAUCAAACCGGGAGAUAGCUGGUUCUCCCCGAAAGCUAUUUAGGUAGCGCCUCGGACGAAUACUAUUGGGGGUAGAGCACUGUUUCGGCUAGGGGGUCAUCCCGACUUACCAACCCGAUGCAAACUCCGAAUACCAAUAAGUACUAUCCGGGAGACACACAGCGGGUGCUAACGUUCGUUGUGGAGAGGGAAACAACCCAGACCGCCAGCUAAGGUCCCAAAGUUAUCACUAAGUGGGAAACGAUGUGGGAAGGCCCAGACAGCCAGGAUGUUGGCUUAGAAGCAGCCAUCAUUUAAAGAAAGCGUAAUAGCUCACUGGUCGAGUCGGCCUGCGCGGAAGAUGUAACGGGGCUAAGUGAUACACCGAAGCUGCGGCAGCAUACUAGUUAUGCUGGGUAGGGGAGCGUUCUGUAAGCCUGUGAAGGUGGAUUGAGAAGUCUGCUGGAGGUAUCAGAAGUGCGAAUGCUGACAUGAGUAACGAUAAUGGGGGUGAAAAACCUCCACGCCGAAAGACCAAGGGUUCCUGUCCAACGUUAAUCGGGCAGGGUGAGUCGACCCCUAAGGCGAGGCCGAAAGGCGUAGUCGAUGGGAAACAGGUUAAUAUUCCUGUACUCGCUGUAAUUGCGAUGGAGGGACGGAGAAGGUUAGGUGGGCCAGGCGUUGGUUGUCCUGGUGAAAGUGCGUAGGCUGAGUGUUUAGGUAAAUCCGGACGCUCAUUAGGCUGAGACACGAGACGAACAUCCUACGGGAUGGAAGCCAUUGAUACCCUGCUUCCGGGAAAAGCUUCUAAGCUUCAGAUUACAGAGAAUCGUACCCCAAACCGACACAGGUGGUCGGGUAGAGAAUACCAAGGCGCUUGAGAGAACUCGGGUGAAGGAACUAGGCAAAAUAGUACCGUAACUUCGGGAGAAGGUACGCCGCUGACGGUGAAGUCCCUUGCGGAUGGAGCUGUCGGUGGUCGCAGUGACCAGGUGGCUGGGACUGUUUAUCAAAAACACAGCACUGUGCAAACUCGAAAGAGGACGUAUACGGUGUGACACCUGCCCGGUGCCGGAAGGUUAAUUGAUGUCGUUAUCCCUCGGGAGAAGCGGUUGAUCGAAGCCCCGGUAAACGGCGGCCGUAACUAUAACGGUCCUAAGGUAGCGAAAUUCCUUGUCGGGUAAGUUCCGACCUGCACGAAUGGUGUAACCAUGGCCACGCUGUCUCCACCCGAGACUCAGUGAAAUUGAAAUCGCUGUGAAGAUGCAGUGUACCCGCGGCUAGACGGAAAGACCCCGUGAACCUUUACUACAGCUUGGCACUGAACAUUGAGCCUGCAUGUGCAGGAUAGGUGGGAGGCUUCGAAGCGGUAACGCCAGUUAUCGUGGAGCCAUCCUUGAAAUACCACCCUUGCAUGUUUGAUGUUCUAACCUCGGUCCAUUAUCUGGAUUAGGGACAGUGUCUGGUGGGUAGUUUGACUGGGGCGGUCUCCUCCCAAAGAGUAACGGAGGAGCACGAAGGUGGGCUAAGUACGGUCGGACAUCGUACGGUUAGUGCAAUGGCAUAAGCCCGCUUAACUGCGAGACAGACACGUCGAGCAGGUACGAAAGUAGGUCAUAGUGAUCCGGUGGUUCUGAAUGGAAGGGCCAUCGCUCAACGGAUAAAAGGUACUCCGGGGAUAACAGGCUGAUACCGCCCAAGAGUUCAUAUCGACGGCGGUGUUUGGCACCUCGAUGUCGGCUCAUCACAUCCUGGGGCUGGAGCAGGUCCCAAGGGUAUGGCUGUUCGCCAUUUAAAGUGGUACGCGAGCUGGGUUCAGAACGUCGUGAGACAGUUCGGUCCCUAUCUGCCGUGGGCGUUGGAUGAUUGAGAGGAGUUGCUCCUAGUACGAGAGGACCGGAGUGAACACACCUCUGGUGUUCGGGUUGUCACGCCAGUGGCACUGCCCGGUAGCUACGUGUGGAACUGAUAACCGCUGAAAGCAUCUAAGCGGGAAGCAGGCCUCAAGAUGAGUCAUCCCUAAGACUUUAAGUCUUCUGAAGGGCCGUCCGAGACUAGGACGUUGAUAGGCAGGGUGUGUAAGCGUUGUGAGGCGUUGAGCUAACCUGUACUAAUGACCCGAGAGGCUUAACCAU